rnacentral:piRNA from 1 species
UGAACAGAACGAGGUUUGAUUGCUUUAU